AUUGAACGCUGGCGGCAUGCCUUACACAUGCAAGUCGAACGGUAACAGGUUAAGCUGACGAGUGGCGAACGGGUGAGUAAUACAUCGGAACGUGCCCAGUAGUGGGGGAUAGCCCGGCGAAAGCCGGAUUAAUACCGCAUACGACCUAAGGGUGAAAGGGGGGGAUCGCAAGACCUCUCGCUAUUGGAGCGGCCGAUGUCAGAUUAGCUAGUUGGUGGGGUAAAAGCUCACCAAGGCGACGAUCUGUAGCUGGUCUGAGAGGACGACCAGCCACACUGGGACUGAGACACGGCCCAGACUCCUACGGGAGGCAGCAGUGGGGAAUUUUGGACAAUGGGCGCAAGCCUGAUCCAGCCAUGCCGCGUGCGGGAAGAAGGCCUUCGGGUUGUAAACCGCUUUUGUCAGGGAAGAAAUCCUUUGGGUUAAUACCUCGGGGGGUUGACGGUACCUGAAGAAUAAGCACCGGCUAACUACGUG
rnacentral:rRNA from 1 species